CCUACGGGAGGCAGCAGUGGGGAAUUUUGGACAAUGGGCGAAAGCCUGAUCCAGCAAUGCCGCGUGAGUGAAGAAGGCCUUCGGGUUGUAAAGCUCUUUUGUCAGGGAAGAAACGGUGAGAGCUAAUAUCUUUUGCUAAUGACGGUACCUGAAGAAUAAGCACCGGCUAACUACGUGCCAGCAGCCGCGGUAAUACGUAGGGUGCAAGCGUUAAUCGGAAUUACUGGGCGUAAAGCGUGCGCAGGCGGUUUUGUAAGUCUGAUGUGAAAUCCCCGGGCUCAACCUGGGAAUUGCAUUGGAGACUGCAAGGCUAGAAUCUGGCAGAGGGGGGUAGAAUUCCACGUGUAGCAGUGAAAUGCGUAGAUAUGUGGAGGAACACCGAUGGCGAAGGCAGCCCCCUGGGUCAAGAUUGACGCUCAUGCACGAAAGCGUGGGGAGCAAACGGGAUUAGAUACCCUGGUAGUCCACGCCCUAAACGAUGUCUACUAGUUGUCGGGUCUUAAUUGACUUGGUAACGCAGCUAACGCGUGAAGUAGACCGCCUGGGGAGUACGGUCGCAAGAUUAAAACUCAAAGGAAUUGACGG
rnacentral:rRNA from 1 species